CUCGACACGAGGGUUUGUGGGCAGGUAGUUGUUUUUUGGAUGUCAUCUCAGGGAAUAGUAGUGGGGGGGGGGCACGAGGAAACAAGCAGACCAAUACAGGGGUGCUCUAGCGGACCGGUCAUCACUACGGGCAGUGGGGCUGGAGUCUGCUGGGGCCCUCCUAGUAGCAUAUAGGAAGCGUCUGUUUGGGGAUGAAAAUGGGGUCACUAAUCCACUUGCUUCCCUCCCCUCGUUGGCUAAGGGCUGCUCCGUGGGGUGUUAGCUCCCUUGCAUUUCCAGGUUUGCCCAAGCAUAAGUACUGAACAGGUACCCACGGACACCCACCUACCUCAUGACAUCUGAGAAGCCCUUGGGUGGCAAGCGAGUGAGGCGGUGGUGCAGCUGCGAGAGGGCACCUCAGACCCCAGCAGCGACGGCUGCGGUAUAAGGGUGAAACUGGUCCACGGAGCGGUAAAGCGAUUUGCUCAAGGUCUCAUGGCCGGAAGUGAGGCCUAGGCCUGAAACCAGGUUUCUUCCUGGAUCUUCUCUCAGAUGUAAGAUGGGAUUAAAACCAUAGAACUGUGGACAAAGCAGCAGAUUUCAACUGCAGAGGGCAUGAGGACUCCCAGGGAGGCCUGCAGGAACAUUGCAGAAUGGGACGCAUCCCUGCAUUCAUCGGCCGAGCAGUCUGAGCCAGGCUCUUUCUGUAUGUUCUCUCUCAUCCACGCUAUAGUCCUACAUACUAGAGAGCAAAACUUGCCUCUCCAUAUUAUUAUGAGUAUUGAGUGAGGUAUUGGAAAUAGCAGGCCUUGCUGACUGUAAAAAGAUGUGCACACGUGGACCUCACUUUCUAUUGAGACUUGCAGCCUGUAUUGGUCAUGUCGCCUGAGAGCCUCUCUCAGCAGUUACCAGGACACUGAGACAUACAUUACAAUGCAGAGGGGACCAAACCACCAGGAGUUGGACACCGGCCUUGGAAACUGAUUGUUUACAUUUGUUUGUAGUCUCCUUGAAGCAGAGGUUAGGUCAUAGUUCUUCGGACCUGGCAAAGUCAACUGGAAACUGCUCAUGGCCAGGCACCCCACCUGAUUGCUUCUUUCCAACCCUUCCCUGCAUUUAGGGAAGACAGACGACAAGAUGCACUCUCACCAUCACACCAAGGAAUCUCCCUUUGGCAGCUCUUCCAGGCAGCAGAAAUGUCAAAGAUCCACGUGUGCCGUCCAUCCGCAGGGUCCAGAAGGUGAUCUUCCGGGGAGCUUCCAGGGAAAUCAAGCCAUCAUGGGGAAGGUCCAGAGAGACUUGCUGUGCAGGUAUCUGCACGCAGGAUGACAUCAAGGCACGUGUCUGUGGUCUGAGGUUUGCUGCUUGGCGUUUGGUAUAGAAAGUCAUUCAGGACAAACUGCUCAUCGAGGCUAGCAAGGAAGGGGUCUAAUGUAUUUGUGAAAGAGUUACCACAGUCAGCCUCAUUGGGGUCACAGCUCAGAACACCCCUAAAAUGCAGUCAUACUAUGUCACAGGCAAUGAGAGGUUCCAGGGGAAAAGCAGUAGGAAACCACUGAGAUUUACAGACUUCUUUUUCACUCCUACUGGGAGAGUGGGUCUUGGGAAAGAAGGCAUUCGGGAGACAGCAAGAAUCACCGUGAGGAUAGAGACCCAUCUUUCACUCUGCUCCUGCCGAACUCCAGGGUACCUGACAAUGCCCAGGGCACACCUGAUGUGCCAUAAACAUUGGUUGGUAACUGAGUCAAUGAGUCUUUCAGCAGGGAGUGGGGGUGGUCCCACCUGCUCUAAGUCUCUGUACAGUUUAACAAUUUCUUCUCGUGGAGGAAUAAAUUCGGCACUAACCCCCAGUCAUUUUCCCCAUCAAGAAUUAGGAUGCGAGGUAGGAAAUGAGAAAUGGUCGUAGGCACAGAAUCAGAAGUCCUGGGUCUGAUUCCUGGCUCUUCCUCUGACCAGUGGGUGGGCCACGGAGAAGUCACAUAAACGUUUUGAGCUUCAAUUUCCUUACUGAAAAUUGACAGUAAUAAUUCCGAUGUCUUGAGGCUGUGGCUUUUUUUCUUUUCCUAAUUCAGUGAAAAAAAUGUGCGUGAUCUGCCAAUACAGUUUCUGGGAGGUGGCAGUUAAGAGUAAGAGCACAUGUUCUGGCAUCAGCACGUAUUCAGAUUCUGGUUCUGCCGCUUACGAGAUGAGUGUCCUUAGGCCGGUUACUUCACUUUUCCGUCUCUUCUUCAUCUCUAAAAAAAAGGAUAUAGUGAUAUCUGUUGCAGGAGGUUGAAGGGAUAAUUAAUGUAAACUAGUUAACACGCUGCCUGGAAUAUGACAAGCGCUUUAUUAUGAUUAUUACUACUGUUAGAAAA